rnacentral:rRNA from 1 species
GAUGAACGCUGGCGGCGUGCCUAAUACAUGCAAGUCGAGCGAAUGGAUUAAGAGCUUGCUCUUAUGAAGUUAGCGGCGGACGGGUGAGUAACACGUGGGUAACCUGCCCAUAAGACUGGGAUAACUCCGGGAAACCGGGGCUAAUACCGGAUAACAUUUUGAACCGCAUGGUUCGAAAUUGAAAGGCGGCUUCGGCUGUCACUUAUGGAUGGACCCGCGUCGCAUUAGCUAGUUGGUGAGGUAACGGCGCACCAAGGCAACGAUGCGUAGCCGACCUGAGAGGGGGAUCGGCCACACUGGGACUGAGACACGGCCCAGACUCCUACGGGAGGCAGCAGUAGGGAAUCUUCCUCAAUGGACGAAAGUCUGACGGAGCAACGCCGCGUGAGUGAUGAAGGCUUUCGGGUCGUAAAACUCUGUUGUUAGGGAAGAACAAGUGCUAGUUGAAUAAGCUGGCACCUUGACGGUACCUAACCAGAAAGCCACGGCUAACUACGUGCCAGCCGCCGCCGUAA